rnacentral:tRNA from 5 species
AGUCUUAUAGUCUAAUAAGGAUAAUAAAUUGCAAAUUUAUUGGUGAAUUUUAAUCUAAGGCUU